GCAGCGGCCGUUGCCGAGCAUGCGGGUCACCUGCGCGUACUCCUGCCCAUCCUCCUUGAAGACGAGCUCGCGCUUGUCGUCGUCGGCCUCGUUCUUUCCCCUCUUCCGGUUCUUGCCUCCCUUACCCUUGUUCUUCGGCAUCUUGGCGGUGGGGAGCGGCGAGACGAAACCCUAGGCGCGCGAGAUGGAGGUGGGGAAAGGGGUGUUGUGCGGCUUGCGGUCGUGGGGUGGUUGUUCGGGAGGUGCGGCGGCGAGAGUUUAUAGCGGGGAAGCGGGGGACGGGGGGAGGAGGGGCCUGAGACGUUGGAUCUAGGGUUGGGGGUCGUCGACGGCUGGGAUCGAGAGAGCGGGGUCGGUUUCUG
rnacentral:lncRNA from 1 species